rnacentral:rRNA from 1 species
UACGGGAGGCAGCAGUGGGGAAUAUUGCACAAUGGGGGGAACCCUGAUGCAGCGACGCCGCGUGGGGGAUGACGGCCUUCGGGUUGUAAACCUCUUUCAGUAGGGAAGAAGCCUUUGGGUGACGGUACCUGCAGAAGAAGUACCGGCUAACUACGUGCCAGCAGCCGCGGUAAUACGUAGGGUACAAGCGUUGUCCGGAAUUAUUGGGCGUAAAGAGCUCGUAGGUGGUUUGUCGCGUCUGCUGUGGAAUCGUGCCGCUUAACGGUGCGCGUGCAGUGGGUACGGGCAGACUGGAGUGCAGUAGGGGAGUCUGGAAUUCCUGGUGUAGCGGUGAAAUGCGCAGAUAUCAGGAGGAACCCCGGUGGCGAAGGCGGGACUUUGGGCUGUUACUGACGCUGAGGAGCGAAAGCAUGGGGAGCGAACAGGAUUAGAUACCCUGGUAGUCCAUGCCGUAAACGUUGGGAACUAGGUGUGGGGUCCAUUCCACGGAUUCCGCGCCGUAGCUAACGCAUUAAGUGCCCCGCCUGGG